UACGAAGGGGGCUAGCGUUGUUCGGAUUUACUGGGCGUAAAGCGCACGUAGGCGGGUUGUUAAGUCAGUGGUGAAAUCCUGGAGCUCAACUCCAGAACUGCCUUUGAUACUGGCAACCUAGAGGCUGGAAGAGGUUAGUGGAAUUCCCAGUGUAGAGGUGAAAUUCGUAGAUAUUGGGAAGAACACCAGUGGCGAAGGCGGCUAACUGGUCCAGAUCUGACGCUGAGGUGCGAAAGCGUGGGGAGCAAACAGG
rnacentral:rRNA from 1 species